rnacentral:tRNA from 1 species
GUCGCAAUAGCUCAGUUGGGAGAGCGUCAGACUGAAGAAAUUAGUACUCUUCAAACUACAGUCCAUCUGAAGGUCGUGUGUUCGAUUCACACUUGCGACA